rnacentral:rRNA from 1 species
GCCGGUGACAAACCGGAGGAAGGUGGGGAUGACGUCAAAUCAUCAUGCCCCUUAUGACCUGGGCUACACACGUGCUACAAUGGACAGAACAAAGGGCUGCGAGACCGCAAGGUUUAGCCAAUCCCACAAAUCUGUUCUCAGUUCGGAUCGCAGUCUGCAACUCGACUGCGUGAAGCUGGAAUCGCUAGUAAUCGCGGAUCAGCAUGCCGCGGUGAAUACGUUCCCGGGCCUUGUACACACCGCCCGUCACACCACGAGAGUUUGCAACACCCGAAGUCGGU